AUACGGAGGGUGCAAGCGUUAACCGGAAUUACUGGGCGUAAAGCGCGCGUAGGCGGCUGAUUAAGUCGGAUGUGAAAUCCCUGGGCUCAACCUAGGAACUGCAUCCGAUACUGGUCAGCUAGAGUUUUGGAGAGGUAAGUGGAAUUUCCGGUGUAGCGGUGAAAUGCAUAGAGAUCGGAAGGAACACCAGUGGCGAAGGCGACUUACUGGCCAAAAACUGACGCUGAGGUGCGAAAGCGUGGGUAGCGAACAGGAUUAGAAACCCUAGUAGUCC
rnacentral:rRNA from 1 species